rnacentral:rRNA from 1 species
GAUGAACGCUGGCGGCGUGCCUAAUACAUGCAAGUCGAGCGAACGGACGAGAAGCUUGCUUUUCUGAUGUUAGCGGCGGACGGGUGAGUAACACGUGGAUAACCUACCUAUAAGACUGGGAUAACUUCGGGAAACCGGAGCUAAUACCGGAUAAUAUUUUGAACCGCAUGGUUCAAAAGUGAAAGACGGUCUUGCUGUCACUUAUAGAUGGAUCCGCGCUGCAUUAGCUAGUUGGUAAGGUAACGGCUUACCAAGGCAACGAUGCAUAGCCGACCUGAGAGGGUGAUCGGCCACCUGGGAACUGAGACACGGUCCAGACUCCUACGGGAGGCAGCAGUAGGGAAUCUUCCGCAAUGGGCGAAAGCCUGACGGAGCAACGCCGCGUGAGUGAUGAAGGUCUUCGGAUCGUAAAACUCUGUUAUUAGGGAAGAACAUAUGUGUAAGUAACUGUGCACAUCUUGACGGUACCUAAUCAGAAAGCCACGGCUAACUACGUG